rnacentral:misc_RNA from 1 species
GUGCGACGUAGACAAGUUUGCAGCAUGGACGUCUGCUCUUGCUUUUCUUAUUUAGCUAGCAGGCAUUGGACGCCCUAGGGUUGCUCGAAGUCUUGUAUGUAGAAGCAAAGAUCGGUCGGGGACUUUUUCCCUUUUUGCCCGAAUCAAUUGUCCCUUACGAAAGCCUGACGUGCCCUGUGUUGACGGGAGGAUAGUAAUUGUCCUCGCUCAUACGGUGCCGGCGGCAAAAAGAUGCUACCUGGUUGAUCCUGCCAG